UUCCCCUAGUAACUGCGAGUGAAGCGGGAAAAGCUCAAAUUUAAAAUCUGUUGGUCUUUGGCCAUCCGAGUUGUAAUUUAGAGAAGCGUUUUCCGCGCUGGACCGUGCACAAGUCUCCUGGAAUGGAGCGUCAUAGAGGGUGAGAAUCCCGUCUUUGGCACGGACGCACCAGGGCUUUUGUGAUGCGCUCUCGAAGAGUCGAGUUGUUUGGGAAUGCAGCUCAAAAUGGGUGGUGAACUCCAUCUAAAGCUAAAUAUUGGCGAGAGACCGAUAGCGAACAAGUACCGUGAGGGAAAGAUGAAAAGCACUUUGGAAAGAGAGUGAAACAGUACGUGAAAUUGUUGAAAGGGAAACGCUUGAAGUCAGUCGCGUCGGCCGAGACUCAGCCUUGCCUUGGCUUGGUGUACUUCUCGGCUGACGGGUCAGCAUCAAUUUUGCCCCUUGGAUAAUGGCGAGGGAAAUGUGACACCUUUAUGGUGUGUUAUAGUCCCUUGUCGCAUGCAAGGGUUGGGAUUGAGGAACUCAGCACGCACCUUUGGGUGUCGGGGCUUUGCCCACGAUACGUGCUUAGGAUGUUGGCGUAAUGGCUUUAAACGACCCGUCUUGAAACACGGACCAAGGAGUCUAACAUGCCUGCGAGUGUUCGGGUGGAAAACCCGUGCGCGCAAUGAAAGUGAAAGUUGGGACCUCUGUCGUGGAGGGCACCGACGCCCGGACCAGACCUUCUGUGACGGCUCUGCGGUAAAGCAUGUAUGUUAGGACCCGAAAGAUGGUGAACUAUGCCUGAAUAGGGUGAAGCCAGAGGAAACUCUGGUGGAGGCUCGUAGCGAUUCUGACGUGCAAAUCGAUCGUCAAAUUUGGGUAUAGGGGCGAAAGACU
rnacentral:rRNA from 1 species